rnacentral:lncRNA from 1 species
UUUACAGGUUUUGUGGUAUUCGAUGUCGAGUCGUCGGUGAAGCUCCGCUCUGAUUAUGACACGGGGAAAAAGGGUUUUAUAUUGUAUAUAUAAAGUCUAUUGUCUAGGUUAUUUUGUAUAAUCAAUAAAUAUAUUGUUUGAUUCAAAGAUUUGUAUAAACAAGCAUUUUUAAUAAUUAACUACAUUAGUAUUAUUUUGAUUGAAGAGUGUAAUGUUCGAACCAUGACUUUUAUAAUAAUAAACUUUGAUUUUCC